rnacentral:rRNA from 1 species
UAAGGAAUAUUGGUCAAUGGACGCAAGUCUGAACCAGCCAUGCCGCGUGAAGGAUGAAGGUCCUCUGGAUUGUAAACUUCUUUUAUUUGGGACGAAAAAAGAUCAUUCUUGAUCACUUGACGGUACCAUUUGAAUAAGCACCGGCUAACUCCGUGCCAGCAGCCGCGGUAAUACGGAGGGUGCAAGCGUUAUCCGGAUUCACUGGGUUUAAAGGGUGCGUAGGCGGACAAUUAAGUCAGUGGUGAAAUCUCGGAGCUUAACUCCGAAACUGCCAUUGAUACUAUUUGUCUUGAAUUUUCUGGAAGUCAGCGGAAUAUGUCAUGUAGCGGUGAAAUGCUUAGAUAUGACAUAGAACACCGAUAGCGAAGGCAGCUGACUACGGAACGAUUGACGCUGAGGC